rnacentral:rRNA from 1 species
CGCAUCUGUGCAUGCAGCAUAUCAAUAAGCGGAGGAAAAGAAACUAACAAGGAUUCCCUUAGUAACGGCGAGUGAAGCGGGAAGAGCUCAAAUUUGAAAUCUUCAAGGGUUUACCUUGACGAAUUGUAGUUUAAAGAAGUGUUUUCUGUUGAGGUUUUGGUAAAAGUUCUUUGGAAUAGGACAUCAUAGAGGGUGAGAAUCCCGUAUUUGACCUUUACUUUCAACUUUGUGAUACACUUUCAAAGAGUCGGAUUGUUUGGGAAUGCAGUCCAAAAUGGGUGGUAAAUUUCAUCUAAAGCUAAAUAUUGGCGAGAGACCGAUAGCGAACAAGUACCGUGAGGGAAAGAUGAAAAGAACUUUGAAAAGAGAGUUAAACAGUACGUGAAAUUGUCAAAAGGGAAGCGUUUGACACCAGUGUUGUUUUUCUGAAAAUCAAUUAAAGAACUGUUUAUGCUAAGUUGUUUAGACUUUAUCAGCUAACUGUUUAGUUUUGAGCUUUUCUUUAAUGCACUUUUCAGUUAACAAGUCAACAUCAAUUUCUUUUGCUGUAAAAAAGCUUGAGGAAGGUGGCUUGAGAUUCGUCUUAAGUGUUUAUAGCCUCUUGCCUAUGCAGUCGGAGAGAUUGAGGUCUGCAGCGUAGAUCCUUCGGGGCUAAAUGCAUUUGUGCUAAGUUAUAGCAUUUUAUAGACAACUUGUUGACUAUGAUUAGUCUUGUAGCUUACUCGCUUAUGCUAUUUUACCUACGCUUAGGAUGUUGAUAGUCACAGCGUGUAC